GAGGCCAAAUGAUGACAUUCAUAUUAGCCAGGACAGGAAGGAGCAGAAGGAAGGGAAGCCCAUGUGAAAACGUACACUAAAGGACGUUAAGUGCUGUGAGCUCCGGGAAAGCGCGUCCCAGUCCCCACCUGGAGGCCUCUUUCCCAACAUUCACCCUCCAAGCCUCUUGCCGCAUAAUUAGAAAAUGUCUUCUCCUCUCUGUGCUUUGGCAGACUGUGAGUCCACCAGGCCCUUGACUUUGAACUCCUGGGGAGCAGUCAACAAGAAUUAAUCAUCCCUGCACUUCCAAAGCCUCUCCCGAGAUCUGGCACCCAGUCCGGCCUUCAAUGUUAAUAAAUGAGUUAAUCACCUUG